rnacentral:piRNA from 1 species
GAGAAUCGCAUCUUAGAGUAAAUGGCC